rnacentral:rRNA from 1 species
UGGGGAAUUUUGCACAAUGGGGGAAACCCUGAUGCAGCGACGCCGCGUGAUUUAGAAGGCCUUCGGGUUGUAAAAAUCUUUUCUAUGGGAAGAAAAUGACAGUACCAUAGGAAUAAGGACCGGCUAAUUACGUGCCAGCAGCCGCGGUAAUACGUAAGGUCCGAGCGUUGUCCGGAAUCAUUGGGCGUAAAGGGUACGUAGGCGGGUAAGCAAGUUAGAAGUGAAAUCCUAUAGCUCAACUAUAGUAAGCUUUUAAAACUGCUCAUCUUGAGGUAUGGAAGUGAAAGUGGAAUUCCUAGUGUAGCGGUGAAAUGCGCAGAUAUUAGGAGGAAUACCGGUGGCGAAGGCGACUUUCUGGCCAUAACCUGACGCUGAGGUACGAAAGCGUGGGUAGCAAACAGG